GACGAACGCUGGCGGCGCGCUUAACACAUGCAAGUCGAACGGAAAGGCCUGCUUUCCCUUGUGGAUUGCGUGUACUCGAGUGGCGAACGGGUGAGUAACACGUGAGUGAUCUGCCCCCAACUUGGGUAUAAGCCUGGGAAACUGGGUCUAAUUCCCGAUAGGACUGCAGGGUGGUGCCUGUGGUGGAAAACGAUUUUCUAGUGGUUGGGGAUGAGCUCGCGGCCUAUCAGCUUGUUGGUGGGGUAAUGGCCUACCAAGGCGGCGACGGGUAGCCGGCCUGGGAGGGUGGACGGCCACAUUGGGACUGAGAUACGGCCCAGACUCCUACGGGAGGCAGCAGUGGGGAAUAUUGCACAAUGGGCGGAAGCCUGAUGCAGCGACGCCGCGUGGGGGAUGACGGCCUUCGGGUUGUAAACUCCUUUCGACCGCGAGGAAGCCACCUGGUUGGAAGGGUGGUGACGGUAGUGGUAGAAGAAGCACCGGCUAACUACGUG
rnacentral:rRNA from 1 species